CUUUAGUCUGGUCCUAAGGCGAACCCGAAAGGGACAGUCGAUGGCUAACGGGUUAAUAUUCCCGUACUACUAAUUACUGUGAUGGGGUGACGGAGUGAUGAAAGCGCCGCGAACUGACGGAAUAGUUCGUUGAAGUACCUACCUAUAGGAUCUGCAGGCAAAUCCACAGAUCUUGGGGAAAUACGAUAGUACUCGGAGUCUUCGGACAAAGAGAUAGUGCGCCUAAGGGCUUCCAAGAAAAACCUCUAAACUUCAGGUAAUUAGUACCAGUACCGUAAACCGACACAGGUAGUUGAGGAGAGAAUCCUAAGGUGCUCGAGAGAUUCAUGGCUAAGGAAUUAGGCAAAAUAGACCUGUAACUUCGGGAGAAAGGUCGCCAGCGCAAGCUGGCCGCAGUGAAGAGGUCCAGGCGACUGUUUAUCAAAAACACAGGGCUCUGCAAAAUCGUAAGAUGAAGUAUAGGGCCUGACACCUGCCCGGUGCUGGAAGGUUAAGAGGAGAUGUUAUCUUCGGAGAAGCAUUGAAUUGAAGCCCCAGUAAACGGCGGCCGUAACGAUAACGGUCCUAAGGUAGCGAAAUUCCUUGUCGGGUAAGUUCCGACCUGCACGAAUGGUGUAACGAUCUGGACACUGUCUCAGCCAUGAGCUCGGUGAAAUUGUAGUAACGGUGAAGAUGCCGUUUACCCGCAGUGGGACGAAAAGACCCUGUGCACCUUUACUAUAGCUUAGUAUUGACCUUGGAUAAAUGAUGUGUAGGAUAGGUUGGAGACUGUGAAGUGGCGUCGCCAGGCGUUGUGGAGUCAUUGUUGAAAUACAACCCUUUGUUUAUCUGAGGCCUAACCCCGUUUUGCGGGGGACAUUGCUUGGUGGGUAGUUUGACUGGGGUGGUCGCCUCCAAAAGAGUAACGGAGGCUUCUAAAGGUUCCCUCAGUACGCUUGGUAACCGUGCGUAGAGUGCAAUGGCAUAAGGGAGCUUGACUGAGAGACAUACAGGUCGAUCAGGUACGAAAGUAGAGCAUAGUGAUCCGGUGGUUCCGCAUGGAAGGGCCAUCGCUCAAAGGAUAAAAGGUACGCCGGGGAUAACAGGCUGAUCUCCCCCAAGAGCUCAUAUCGACGGGGGGGUUUGGCACCUCGAUGUCGGCUCGUCACAUCCUGGGGCUGGAGAAGGGGUUGGGCUGUUCGCCCAUUAAAGUGGCACGCGAGCUGGGUUCAGAACGUCGUGAGACAGUUCGGUCUCUAUCUACUGUGGGCGUUAGAAAUUUGAGUGGAUCUGAUUCUAGUACGAGAGGACCGAAUUGGACAAACCUCUAGUGUAUCUGUUGUCCCGCCAGGGGCACCGCAGAGUAGCUACGUUUGGAAGGGAUAAGCGCUGAAAGCAUAUAAGCGCGAAACCCACCACAAGAUGAGAUUUCUUUUAAGGAUCGUGGAAGAUGACCACGUUGAUAGGCUAUAGAUGUAAAGGCAGUAAUGUCAUAGUCGAGUAGUACUAAUAAUCCGAAAAAAGAAG
rnacentral:rRNA from 1 species